UACGUAGGGUGCAAGCGUUAAUCGGAAUUACUGGGCGUAAAGCGUGCGCAGGCGGUUGUGCAAGACAGAUGUGAAAUCCCCGGGCUUAACCUGGGAACUGCAUUUGUGACUGCACGGCUAGAGUACGGUAGAGGGGGAUGGAAUUCCGCGUGUAGCAGUGAAAUGCGUAGAUAUGCGGAGGAACACCAAUUGCGAAGGCAGCUUGCUGGGACGGUACUGACGCUGAGGCGCGAAAGCGUGGGGAGCAAACAGG
rnacentral:rRNA from 1 species